rnacentral:rRNA from 1 species
UACGUAGGGUGCGAGCGUUAAUCGGAAUUACUGGGCGUAAAGCGUGCGCAGGCGGUUUUGUAAGCCAGAUGUGAAAUCCCCGGGCUUAACCUGGGAAUGGCAUUUGGGACUGCAAGGCUCGAGUGCGGCAGAGGAGACUGGAAUUCCUGGUGUAGCAGUGAAAUGCGUAGAUAUCAGGAAGAACAUCGGUGGCGAAGGCGCUCUGCUGGACCAUAACUGACACUCAGGGACGAAAGCUAGGGGAGCGAAUGGG